rnacentral:lncRNA from 1 species
UUCAUUAGGUCAACAAAAAGAAAAAUGCUAGAAUUCUGGAACAAGACAAUAAAGAUACAUUGACACUAAAGAUUACAGACGCUCCAUAGUAGACUUAAUGUAGUCAAUUAUCCUAAAAUAAUGGUACAACAUAGCAAAAUGUUCGCUCUCCAAGCCAUCUCUGCACAUGACUCAAUCUUCUACGAAGUCUAUGGAGAGUCACCUCCGCUCCUCCAGUACCAGAAAAGAAUGGUACAACAGAAGAUCUUCGAGUCCACAUAC